GGGGUGGGCACCCAGCAGGAGAGCAGAGUCCCCCUCUGCCGGAGUCUCCUUUCCCACACUCCAAGCAGGAACUUGGAGAGAAAUUGGGGGCAGGGGGAAGGGGGGCCGGGGUGUCUUUCUUUCUCUCUCAGAAUCCUGGCAUUGAACCCCUGCUGGGAUUUAUGUGCAUUGCAGUCUACAGCUGGCCCAGGUCUUUCUAUUACAGCUGGAAUAGAUUCCCCAGGUAAUAAAUUGAAGGAUCCUCCCCAGGCUUUCCAGCAAAAUUACUUAUGCUAUUAGCAGCAUGAGGCGGGCCUUUAUAAGGGAGACAAGCCACCCUGAAGUUCUGUCCGUCUGGGUGUGUGAAAUGCAGAGCUACCCUCUGGCUUUGGGGGGGGGGGUACGGGGUGGGGGCAGUGGAGAAGGUGGACAUUUGCCUCUUGAGCCCCUUCCUGAGGUCUGUUCCUAGGACGACGCCAUCUUGAACGCUUUCACUGGGAAGCCACAGCUCAUUAAAACCAACUAACUAGACACAGAGGGCCAAACAGAACAGCACUUUGAAACUCUGACUUGGCCUUAGGGUUUAGUGACCUGCCUACUCAGAUUGCCCUGGUGUUGAUCUUCCAGCAAAGCUGCCUCUGUAAAUAAAUCACCAGGUGGCCCCGUCCAAGCCUCUGAGAGUUUGUGUCACCCCGUCUGUCACUUCUCCCUCCGGCUGCCGCAGCUUCGACAGUUGGGUGCAGGGCUGGCAGGGACCCGAGCGGCCUGGUCGCAGAGCUGCUGAGCCGCUGCCUGAGGGAGAUCAGCUGAGCUCCUGUAAAAGGCUCCCCCCCACCCCCGCUUUGUGCACGUCCUGGAUAGAGGCCUUGUGGCAGAUCAUCAGUAGCACCUUUUUCCAGCAGACGAGCUCCGAAAAAUGUGAAGUAAAAUCUUACAUUAUUGUUAUUGUGGUCAUCUCCUUUAAGGAAUCACAACGAGUCCUUUUUAAAUGUAAUCAAAUCCUAAUUUUCUCUCUUCUAGAAGUGCUGCUUUUCAUAUGUCGGAAAAUGGUUAUUCCUCUAGAGAAGAGGGCACAUGGCUUGGAACGUUACGGAGGACGCGAAGGAACAUCUGAAGACAAUAUAUCAGCGAGGCAGCCCGGGCCUCCCUGGGGUGCGGUAUUUGUGGAUGUGGGGGCUAUUGAAUGGGCCGGGGAAGGACGCAGUGACCUUGCAGGCCUGAUGGCUUCACUUCCCGAGAGUGUCCCAGACACAUCGUUUCUUUCUGUCCUCUGGGAAAAGGGGGUAAUGAAAAGCAGCAGAGGACAUGUUCUUCAGGAACCAAAAGCAACAACAAAUAGGGUGAGGAGCCGACCUUAUCUCCUGGAGCCUACACUUAACGUUCCUCCUUCUCUCUGGGGCAAAACAUGACAUUGAACAUUUAACAAUACACAGCGAGCGCAGUCCCUGCUGGAACCAGAGGGGCACUCCGUAAACAAGAGUGGACCUAACACUCUAAACCAAGCAGCACAGAGGGAAGGGGUUUGUUGCAGUUAUAGGACACACACACACACACUGUCAGCCUAGCCAUAAUCAUCACUCCCGUCCAGUAUGAUGGUUUAGCAUUUACAAAAUGCUGCUCCCAGAGAUCCUGCAGGGUGGGUGUUAUGGGCUGAGUUAUGGCUCCCUGAAAGUAAUGCUGAAGUCCUAACCCUGGGGCCUGUCGAUGUGACCUUAUUUGGGAGUAGGGUCUUCGCAGGAGUGAUUAAAUUGAGAUGAGGUUGUGGUGAAUUAGGAUGGACUCUAGCCCAAUGACUGCUGUCCUUAUUAAACAAGGACAAUGUAGACGCCCAUGGAGAAAAGAAUGUCCCGUGAAGAUAUGGAUACACAAGGGAAGACAGCCAUGGAACAAUGGAGGUAGACAUGGGAGUUAUGCAGCUGCAAGCCAAAUGUGCUGAGGAUUGCCAGAAGGCCGAUUCCAAGGCCAAUUCCCUUGGCCACAAGUAGCUAGGCCAGAAGCGCUGAAUGGAUUCUCCCUCUGAGCUGCCAAGAAGGAAACAAUCUUGCUGACAUUUUGAUUUUGGGACUUUCAGCCUCUGGAAUUGUUACAGAAUACAUUUCUUUUGUUUCAGGCCAUGUAGCUGGCAGGAUUUUGUUACAGCAUCCCUAGGAAACUAAUACUGUGGGCCUUAUAUUUUUAAUUUAUAGGAGAUGAACACAGGUUUCAGAGAUGCUAAGAAAGUUGCCCAAGAUCACACAGUCAGAAGAAGGUUAACAUGGAGACUUAAAACCCGGAGCUAUUGGAGCACCUGGAGGGCCCAAUGGUUGAGCAUCUGACUUCAGCUCGGGUCAUGAUCCUUGGGUCCCGGGAUCGAGUUCCAUGUCAGGCUCCCCGUGGGGAGUCGUCUUCUCCCUCUGCCUAUGUCUCUGCCUCUCUCUCUGUAUCUCUUAUGAAUAAAUAAAUAAAGUAUAAAAAAAAAACA
rnacentral:lncRNA from 12 species